GACGAACGCUGGCGGCGCGCCUAAUACAUGCAAGUCGAGGGAGAACCGAGCCUUCGGGUUCGGGGAGACCGGCGAACGGGUGAGUAACACGUGAGGAACCUGCCCUGUAGACCGGAAUAACCACGGGAAACUGUGGCUAAUGCCGGGUACUCUUCCACGCCCGCAUGGGUAUGGAAGGAAAUGGUCCGCCGCUACAGGAUGGCCUCGCGGCCUAUCAGCUUGUUGGUGAGGUAACGGCUCACCAAGGCAACGACGGGUAGCUGGCGUGAGAGCGCGACCAGCCACACUGGGACUGAGACACGGCCCAGACUCCUACGGGAGGCAGCAGUAGGGAAUAUUGCGCAAUGGGCGAAAGCCUGACGCAGCGACGCCGCGUGCGGGAAGAAGGCCCUCGGGUUGUAAACCGCUUUCAGGAGGGAAGAAGCGUCAGUGACGGUACCUCCAGAAGAAGCCCCGGCCAACUACGUGCCAGCAGCCGCGGUAACAC
rnacentral:rRNA from 1 species